CCUCCGUCCGAAGUUGUGGUUUCAGUGUCCAACUUUAACUAUCCGUUUUAUUUAAAAUAUUUUUAGAGUUAGUAUUUUUAUUGUUAUUAGAUGAUAAAAUAUGAAUAACAUUUUAUGCAUGACUUAAGUUUUAAAUUUUUUUCAUAAAUUUUUCAAAUAAAACGGACGUUGGACUUAUAAUAGGAUAUAGAGAGUACUGCUCAUC
rnacentral:pre_miRNA from 1 species